AAUAGAUACCCGAGGUAGUCCACGCCGUAAACGAUGAGUGCUAAGUGUUGGGGGGUUUCCGCCCCUCAGUGCUGCAGCUAACGCAUUAAGCACUCCGCCUGGGGAGUACGGCCGCAAGGCUGAAACUCAAAGGGAAUUGACGGGGGGCCCGCACAAGCGGUGGAGCAUGUGGUUUAAUUCGAAGCAACGCGAAGAACCUUACCAGGUCUUGACAUCCCGCUGCCCGGUAUAGAGAUAUAUCUUUCCCUUCGGGGACAGCGGUGACAGGUGGUGCAUGGUUGUCGUCAGCUCGUGUCGUGAGAUGUUGGGUUAAGUCCCGCAACGAGCGCAACCCUUGAUCUUAGUUGCCAGCAUUUAGUUGGGCACUCUAAGGUGACUGCCGGUGACAAACCGAAGGAGGUGGGGAUGACGUCAAAUCAUCAUGCCCCUUAUGACCUGGGCUACACACGUGCUACAAUGGAUGGUACAAAGGGCUGCAAAGCCGNGAGGUUUAGCCAAUCCCAUAAAAACCAUUCUCAGUUCGGAUUGCAGG
rnacentral:rRNA from 1 species